rnacentral:rRNA from 1 species
UACGGGGGGGGCAAGCGUUGUUCGGAAUUACUGGGCGUAAAGGGCUCGUAGGUGGCCAACUCAGUCAGACGUGAAAUCCCUCGGCUUAACCGGGGAACUGCGUCUGAUACUGGAUGGCUUGAGGUUGGGAGAGGGAUGCGGAAUUCCAGGUGUAGCGGUGAAAUGCGUAGAUAUCUGGAGGAACACCGGUGGCGAAGGCGGCAUCCUGGACCAAUUCUGACACUGAGGAGCGAAAGCCAGGGGAGCAAACAGG